UAGAUGGAUGCUCGUUGGCUUGGGCGGUUGGCUGUUAACCAACAUUUUGUAGGAUCGAAACCUGCCCAUCUAG
rnacentral:tRNA from 1 species